UUUCUAGGUCCGUAUGAUUUGAAAUACUUGCACACAAACCGCUCGAAAGCGUUCCUGGAAAUCUCAGCCCAAAAAAGGACGUUUAGUAAUUCUAAAAGGGACUACAGGAUGAAAAACAAUAGUUUUGGCAGUUAAAGUUUGAGAUUCGAUGGUGCCGUAGAUCCGUUUGGUCAUCAGGUGUAACGAGCCACACACAUGUCUAGCUAGAGUAGUGUGCUAGGCUCAGACUAGAGAAGAAACGGGGAACAAAGUGAUGAAAGAAUGAUCAUACCGAGGGAAUUCACUCAGAACUUACAAGAAUGAUAACGUGCUCCGACUGGAGCGCUUUAGUAACUGCUGGAAGGCUCUAGGCGAAUAAAGAUGGAAUGACUUCUAAUUUUUAGGUCCGUAUGAUUUGAAAUACUUGCACACAAACCACGCAAAACCGUUCCUAGAAAUCUCGGUCGAAAAAAGGACGUUUAGUAAUUCUAAAAGGGACUACAGGAUGAAAAACAAUAGUUUUGGCAGUUAAAGUUUGAGAUUCGAUGGUGCCGUAGAUCCGUUUGGUCAUCAGGUGUUACGAGCCACACCCAUGUCUAGCUAGAGUAGUGUGCUAGGUUCAGACUAGAGAAGAAACGGGGAACAAAGUGAUUAAAGAAUGAUCAUACCGAGGGAAUUCACUCAGAACUAACAAGAAUGAUAACGUGCUCCGACUGGAGCGGUUUAGGAACUGCUGGAAGGCUCUAGGGGAAUAAAGAUGGAAUGACUUCUAAUUUUUACGUCCGUAUGAUUUGAAAUACAUGCACACAAACCACGCAAAAGCGUUCCUGGAAAUCUCAGCCUAAAAAAGGACGUUUAGUAAUUCUAAAAGGGACUACAGGAUGAAAAAUAAUAGUUUGGGCAGUUAAAAUUUGAGAUUCGACGCUGCCGUAGAUCCGUUUGGUCAUCAGGUCUUACGAGCCACACCCAUGUCUAGCUAGAAUAGUGUGUUAGGCUCAGGCUAGAGAAGAAACGGGGAACAAACUGAUGAAAGAAUGAUCAUACCGAGGGAAUUCACUCAGAACUAACAAGAAUGAUAACGUGCUCCGACUGGAGCAGUUUAGAAACUCCUGGAAGGCUCUAGGGGAAUAAAGAUGGAAUGACUUCAAAGUUUUAGGUCCGUAUGAUUUGAAAUACUUGCACACAAACCGCGUGAAAGCGUUCCUGGAAAUCUCAACCCAAAAAAGGGCGUUUAGUAAUUCUAAAAGGGACUACAGGAUGUAAAACAAUAGUUUUGGCAGUUAAAGUUUGAGAUUCGAUGGUGCCGUAGAUCCGUUUGGUCAUCAGGUGUAACGAGCCACACCCAUGUCUAGCUAGAGUAGUGUGCUAGGCUCAGACUAGAGAAGAAACGGGGAACAAAGUGAUGAAAGAAUGAUCAUACCGAGGGAAUUCACUCAUAACUAACAAGAAUGAUAACGUGCUCUGACUUGAGCGGUUUAGGAACUGCUGGAAGGCUAUAGGGGAAUAAAGAUGGAAUGACUUCAAAUUUUUAGGUCCGUAUGAUCUGAAAUACUUGCACACAAACCGCGAGAAAGCGUUCCUGGAAAUCUCAACCCAAAAAAGGACGUUUAGUAAUUCUAAAAGGGACUACAGGAUGAAAAACAAUAGUUCUGGCAGUUAUUGUUUGAGAUUCGAUAAUCUCGUAGAUCCGUUUGGUCAUCAGGUGUAACGAGCCACACCCAUGUCUAGCUAGAGUAGUGUGCUAGGCUCAGACUAGAGAAGAAACGGGGAACAAACUGAUGAAAGAAUGAUCAUACCGAGGGAAUUCACUUAGAACUAACAAGAAUGAUAACGUGCUCCGACUGGAGCGGUUUAGGAACUGCUGGAAGGCUCUAGGGGAAUAAAGAAGGAACGACUUCUAAUUUUUAGGUCCGUAUGAUUUGAAAUAUGUGCACACAAACCACGAGAAAGCGUUCCUAGAAAUCUCGGCCCAAAAGAGGACGUUUAGUAUUCUAAAAGGGACUACAGAAUGAAAAACAAUAGUUUUGGCAGUUAAAGUUUGAGAUUUGACGGUGCCGUAGAUCUGUUUGGUCAUCAGGGGUUACGAGCCACACCCAUGUCUAGCUAGAAUAGUGUGUUAGGCUCAGGCUAGAAAAGAAACGGGGAACAAAGUGAUGAAAGAAUGAUCAUACCGAGGGAAUUCACUCAGAACUAACAAGAAUGAUAACAUGCUCCGACUGGAGCGGUUUAGGAACUGCUGGAAGGCUCUAGGGGAAUAAAGAUGGAAUGACUUCUAAUUUUUAGGUCCGUAUGAUUUGAAAUACUUGCACACAAACCGCGCGAAAGCGUUCCUGGAAAUCUCAGCCCAAAAAAGGACGUUUAGUAAUUCUAAAAGGGACUACAGGAUGAAAAACAAUAGUUUUGGCAGUUAAAGUAUGAGAUUCAACGGUGCCGUAGAUCCGUUUGGUCAUUAGGUGUUACGAGCCACACCCAUGUCUAGCUAGAAUAGUGUGCUAGGCUCAGGCUAGAGAAGAAACGGGGAACAAACUGAUGAAAGAAUGAUCAAACCGAGGGAAUUCACUCAGAACUAACAAUAAUGAUAACGUGCUCCGACUGGAGCGGUUUAGGAACUGCUGGAAGUCUCUAGGGGAAUAAAGAUGGAAUGACUUCUAAUUUUUACGUUCGUAUGAUUUGAAAAACUUGCCCAUAAACCGCGCGAAAGUGUUCCUGGAAAUCUCAGCCCAAAAAAGGACGUUUAGUAAUUUUAAAAGGGACUACACGAUGAAAAACAAUAGUUUUGGCAGGUAAAGUUUGAGAUUCGACAGUGCCGUAGAUCCGUUUGGUCAUCAGGUGUUACGAGCCACACCCAUGUCUAGCUAGAAUAGUAUGUUACGCUCAGGUUAGAGAAGAAACGGGGAACAAACUGAUGAAAGAUGAUCAUACCAAGGGAAUUCACUCAGAACUAACAAGAAUGAUAACGUGCUCCGACUGGAGCGGUUUAGGAACUGCUGGAAGGCUCUAGGGGAAUAAAGAUGGAAUGACUUCUAAUUUUUACGUCUGUAUGAUUUGAAAUACUUGCACACAAACAACGCAAAAGCAUUCCUGGAAAUCUCAUCCUAAAAAAGGACGUUUAGUAAUUCUAAAAGGGACUACAGGAUGAAAAAUAAUAGUUUGGGAAGUUAAAAUUUGAGAUUCGAUAGUGCCGUAGAUCCGUUUGGUCAUCAGGUGUUAGGAGCCACACCCAUGUCUAGCUAGAAUAGUGUGUUAGGCUCAGGCUAGAGAAGAAACAGGGAACAAACUGAUGAAAGAAUGAUCAUACCGAGGGAAUUCACUCAGAACUAGCAAGAAUGAUAACGUGCUCCGACUGGAGCAGUUUUGAAACUGCUGGAAGGCUCUAGGGGAAUAAUGAUGGAAUGACUUCUAAGUUUUUGGUCCGUAUGAUUUGAAAUACGUGCACACAAACCCAGAGAAAGUGUUCUUGGAAAUCUCGGCCGAAAAAAGGAUGUUUAAUAAUUCUAAAAGGGACUACAGGAUGAAAAACAAUAGUUUUGGCAGUUAAAGUUUGUGAUUCGAUGGUGCUGUAGAUCUGUUUGGUCAUCAGGUGUUAUGAGCCACACCCAUGUCUAGCUAGAACAGUGUGUUAGGCUCAGGCUAGAGCAGAAACGGGGAACAAACUUAUGAAAGAAUGAUCAUACCGAGGGAAUUCACUCAGAACUAACAAGAAUGAUAACGUGCUCCGACUGGAGAGGUUUAGGAACUGCUGGAAGGCUCUAGGGGAAUAAAGAUGGAAUGACUUCAAAUUUUUAGGUCUGUAUGAUCUGAAAUACUUGCACACAAACCGCGAGAAAGCGUUCCUGGAAAUCUCAGCCCAAAAAAGGACGUUUAGUGAUUCUAAAAGGGACUACGGGAUAAAAAACAAUAGUUUUGGCAGUUAAAGUUUGAGAUUCGAUAAUGCCGUAGAUCCGUUUGGUCAUCAGGUGUAACGAGCCACACCCAUGUCUAGCUAGAGUAGUGUGCUAGGCUCAUACUAGAGAAGAAAUGGGGAACAAACUGAUGAAAGAAUGAUCAUACCGAGGGAGUUCACUCAAAACUAACAUGAAUGAUAACGUGCUCCGACUGGAGCGGUUUAGGAACUGCUGGAAGGCUCUAGGGGAAUAAAGAUGGAAUGACUUCUAAUUUUUAGGUCCGUAUGAUUUGAAAUACAUGCACACAAACCCCAAGAAAGCGUUCCUGGAAAUCUCGCCCCGAAAAACGACGUUUAGUAAUUCUAAAAGGGACUAUAGGAUGAAAAACAAUAGUUUUGGCAGUUAAAGUUUGAGAUUUGACGGUGCCGUAGAUCUGUUUGGUCAUCAGGUGUUACGAGCCACACCCAUUUCUAGCUAGAAUAGUGUGUUAGGCUCAGGCUAGAAAAGAAACGGGGAACAAAGUGAUGAAAGAAUGAUCAUACCGAGGGAAUUCACUCAGAACUAACAAGAAUGAUAACAUGGUCCGACUGGAGCGGUUUAGGAACUGCUGGAAGGCUCUAGGGGAAUAAAGAUGGAAUGACUUCUAACUUUUAGGUCCGUAUGAUUUGAAUUACUUGCACACAAACCGCGCGAAAGCGUUCCUGGAAAUCUCAGCCCAAAAAAGGACGUUUAGUAAUUCUAAAAGGGACUACAGGAUGAAAAACAAUAGUUUUGGCAGUUAAAGUUUGAGAUUCGACGGUGCCGUAGAUCCGUUUGGUCAGCAGGUGUUACGAGCCACACCCAUGUCUAGCUAGAGUAGUGUGCUAGGUUCAGACUAGAGAAGAAAUGUUGGGGAACGUAGCAGAAAUUCAAAAUUUUCCUACGUGUCACCAAGAUCUAUCUAUGGAGAGACUAGCAACGAGGGAAGGAGAGUGCAUCUACAUACCCUUGUAGAUCGCUAAGCGGAAGCGUUCAAGUGAACGGGGUUGAUGGAGUCGUACUCGUCGUGAUUCAGCUCACCGAUGAUCCUAGUGCCGAACGGACGGCACCUCCGCGUUCAACACACGUACAGCUCGACGAUGUCUCCCACGCCUUGAUCCAGCAAGGAGAGAGGGAGAGGUUGAGGAAGACUCCAUCCAGCAGAAGCACAACGGCGUGGUGGUGAUGGAGGAGCAUGGCAAUCCUGCAGGGCUUCGCCAAGCACCUAUGGGAGAGGAGGAGGUGUCACGGGAGGGAGGGAGGCGCCAAGGGCUCAGGUAUAGAUGCCCUCCCUCCCCUCCACUAUAUAUAGGGGCAAGGGAGAGGGGGGAGGCGCAGCCUUGCCCCUUCCUCCAAGGAAGGGGUGCGGCUAAGAGGGGGGGAGGAGUCCAUCCUCCCCAAGGCACCUCGGAGGUGCCUUCCCCCUUUAGGACUCUCCCCUUUUUCCUAUAUCUUGGCGCAUGGGCCUCUAGGGGCUGGUUCCCUUGGCCCAUGUAGGCCCAGGCGCACCCCCUACAGCCCAUGUGGCCCCCCGGGGCAGGUGGCCCCACCUGGUGGGCCCCCGGGACCCUUCCGGUGGUCCCGGUACAAUACCGAUGACCCCGAAACUUGUCCCGAUGGCCGAAACAGGACUUCCUAUAUAUAAAUCUUUACCUCCGGACAAUUCCGGAACUCCUCGUGACGUCCGGGAUCUCAUCCGGGACUCCGAACAACAUUCGGUAACCACAUACAAACUUCCUUUAUAACCCUAGCGUCAUCGAACCUUAAGUGUGUAGACCCUACGGGUUCGGGAGACAUGUAGUCAUGACCGAGAUGUUCUCCGGUCAAUAACCAACAGCGGGAUCUGGAUACCCAUGUUGGCUCCCACAUGUUCCACGAUGAUCUCAUCGGAUGAACCACGAUGUCAAGGACUCAAUCAAUCCCGUAUACAAUUCCCUUUGUCUAGCGGUAUGGUACUUGCCCGAGAUUCGAUCGUCGGUAUACCGAUACCUUGUUCAAUCUCGUUACCGGCAAGUCUCUUUACUCAUUUCGUAACACAUCAUCCCGUGAUCAACCCCUUGGUCACAUUGUGCACAUUAUGAUGAUGUCCUACCGAGUGGGCCCAGAGAUACCUCUCCGUUUACACGGAGUGACAAAAUCCCAAUCUCGAUUCGUGCCAACCCAACAGACACUUUCAGAGAUACCCGUAGUGUACCUUUACAGCCACCCAGUUACGUUGUGACGUUUGGCACACCCAAAGCACUCCUACAGUAUCCGGGAGUUGCACAAUCUCAUGGUCUAAGGAAAUGAUACUUGACAUUAGAAAAGCUUUAGCAUACGAACUACAUGAUCUUGUGCUAGGCUUAGGAUUGGGUCUUGUCCAUCACAUCAUUCUCCUAAUGAUGUGAUCCCGUUAUCAACGACAUCCAAUGUCCAUGGUCAGGAAACCGUAACCAUCUAUUGAUUAACGAGCUAGUCAACUAGAGGCUUACUAGGGACAUGGUGUUGUCUAUGUAUCCACACAUGUAUCUAAGUUUCCUAUCAAUACAAUUCUAGCAUGGAUAAUAAACGAUUAUCAUGAACAAGGAAAUAUAAUAAUAAUCAAUUUAUUAUUGCCUCUAGGGCAUAUUUCCAACAGUCUCCCACUUGCACUAGAGUCAAUAAUCUAGUUCACAUCGAUAUGUGAUUAACACUCAAGGUCACAUUCCCAUGUGACUAACACCCAAGAGUUUACUAGAGUCAAUAAUCUAGUUCACAUUUACCAUGUGAUUAACACUUGAUGAGUUCUGGGUUUGAUCAUGUUAUGCUUGUGAGAGAGGUUAUAGUCAACGGGUCUGAACCUUUCAGAUCCGUGUGUGCUUUACAAAUCUCUAUGUCAUCUCCUAGAUGCAGCUACCACGUUCUAUUUGGAGCUAUUCCAAAUAACUGUUCUACUUGGAGCUAUUCUAAAUUGUUGCUCCAUUAUACGUAUCCGGUAUCUCUACUCAGAGCUAUCCGGAUAGGUGUUAAGCUUGCAUCGACGUAACCCUUUACGACGAACUCUUUUACCACCUCCAUAAUUGAGAAAAUUCCUUAGUCCACUAGUUACUAAGGAUAACUUUGACCGCUGUCCUGUGAUCCAUUCUUGGAUCACUCUUGUACCCCUUGACUGACUCAUGGUAAAGCACACUUCAGGUGCGGUACACAGCAUAGCAUACUGUAGAGCCUAUGUCUUAAGCAUAGGGGACGACCUUCGUUCCUUUCUCUCUAUUCUGCCAUGGUCGAGCUUUAAGUCUUAACUUCAUACCUUACAACUCAGGCAAGAACUCCUUCUUUGACUGAUCCAUCUUGAACACCUUCAAGAUCACGUCAAGGCAUGUGCUCACGUCAAGAUCACGUCGGUAUACCGAUACCUUGUUCAAUCUCGUUACCGGCAAGUCUCUUUACUCGUUCCGUAACACAUCAUCCCGUGAUCAACCCCUUGGUCACAUUGUGCACAUUAUGAUGAUGUCCUACCGAGUGGGCCCAGAGAUACCUCUCCGUUUACACGGAGUGACAAAAUCCCAAUCUCGAUUCGUGCCAACCCAACAGACACUUUCAGAGAUACCCGUAGUGUACCUUUAUAGCCACCCAGUUACGUUGUGACGUUUGGCACACCCAAAGCACUCCUACGGUAUCCGGGAGUUGCACAAUCUCAUGGUCUAAGGAAAUGAUACUUGACAUUAGAAAAGCUUUAGCAUACGAACUACAUGAUCUUGUGCUAGGCUUAGGAUUGGGUCUUGUCCAUCACAUCAUUCUCCUAAUGAUGUGAUCCCGUUAUCAACGACAUCCAAUGUCCAUGGUCAGGAAACCGUAACCAUCUAUUGAUUAACGAGCCAGUCAACUAGAGGCUUACUAGGGACAUGGUGUUGUCUAUGUAUCCACACAUGUAUCUGAGUUUCCUAUCAAUACAAUUCUAGCAUGGAUAAUAAACGAUUAUCAUGAACAAGGAAAUAUAAUAAUAAUCAAUUUAUUAUUGCCUCUAGGGCAUAUUUCCAACAGUCUCCCACUUGCACUAGAGUCAAUAAUCUAGUUCACAUCACCAUGUGAUUAACACUGACAGGUCACAUCACCAUGUGACCAACAUCCAAAGAGUCUUGGGUUUGAUCAUGUUGCUUGUGAGAGAGGUUAUAGUCAACGGGUCUGAACCUUUCAGAUCCGUGUGUGCUUUACAAAUCUCUAUGUCAUCUCCUAGAUGCAGCUACCACGUUCUAUUUGGAGCUAUUCCAAAUAACUGUUCUACUUGGAGCUAUUCUAAAUUGUUGCUCCAUUAUACGUAUCCGGUAUCUCUACUCAGAGCUAUCCGGAUAGGUGUUAAGCUUGCAUCGACGUAACCCUUUACGACGAACUCUUUUACCACCUCCAUAAUUGAGAAAAUUCCUUAGUCCACUAGUUACUAAGGAUAACUUUGACCGCUGUCCUGCGAUCCAUUCUUGGAUCACCCUUGUACCCCUUGACUGACUCAUGGUAAAGCACACUUCAGGUGCGGUACACAGCAUAGCAUACUGUAGAGCCUAUGUCUUAAGCAUAGGGGAUGACCUUCGUUCCUUUCUCUCUAUUCUGCCAUGGUCGAGCUUUAAGUCUUAACUUCAUACCUUACAACUCAGGCAAGAACUCCUUCUUUGACUGGUCCAUCUUGAACACCUUCAAGAUCAUGUCAAGGUAUGUGCUCAUUUGAAAGUACUAUUAAGCGUUUUGAUCUAUCCUUAUAGAUCUUGAUGCUCAAUGUUCAAGUAGCUUAAUCCAGGUUUUCCAUUGAAAACACUUUCCAAAUAACCCUAUAUGCUUUCCAGAAAUUCUACGUCAUUUCUGAUCAUUAAUAUGUCAACAACAUAUAAUCAUCAGAAAUUCUAUAGUGCUCCCACUCACUUCUUUGGAAAUACAAGUUUCUCAUAAACUUUGUAUACACCCAAAAUCUUUGAUCAUCAUCAAAGCAUACAUUCCAACUCCGAGAUGCUCACUCCAGUCCUCAGAAGGAUUGCUGGAGCUUUGCAUACUUAUUAGCAUAUUUCAGGAUAGACAAAACCUUCCAGUUGUAUCACAUACAACCUUUCCUCAAGAAUCGUCGACGAAACAAUGUUUUGACAUCCUAUCUGCAAGAUUUCAUAAAUAAUGCAGUAAUUGUUAAUAUAAUUCCAACAGACUCUUAGCAUCGCUACGAGUGAGAAAGUCUCAUUGUAGUCAACUCCUUGAACUUGUCAAAAAACAUCUUAACGACAAGUCGAGCUUUCUCAAUGGUGACACUUACCAUCAUUGUCUGUCUUCCUUUCAAAAUCCAUAUGUACCUAACAGCCUUACGACCAUCAAGUAGUUCUUCCAAAGUCUACACUUUGUUUUCAUACAUGGAUCCUCUCUCGGGUUUUAUGGCCAUGAGCCAUUUAUCGGAAUCCGGGCCCACCAUUGCUUCUCCAUAGCUCGUAGGUUCAUUGUUGUCUAGCAACAUGACUUCCAAGACAGGAUUACUGUACCACUCUGAAGUAGUACGUAUCCUUGUCACCCUACGAGGUUUGGGAGUGACUUGAUCUGAAGUUUCAUGAUCACUAUCAUAAGCUUCUACUUCAAUUGGUGUAGGUGCCACAGGAACAACUUCCUGUGCCCUGCUACACACUGGUUGAAGUGAUGGUUCAAUAACCUCAUCAAGUCUCCACCAUCCUCCCACUCAAUUCUUUCGAGAGAAACCUUUCCUCGAGAAAGGACCCAAUUCUAGAAACAAUUCAUAUUGCUUUCGGAUCUGAAUUAGGAAGUAUACCCAACUGUUUUGGGUGUCCUAUGAAGAUGUACUUUAUCCGCUUUGGUUUCGAGCUUAAUCCUGAAACUUUUUCACAUAAGUGUCGCAGCCCCAAACCUUUAAGAAACGACAACUUAGGUUUCUCUAAACCAUAAUUCAUACGGUGUCAUCUCAUCGGAAUUACGUGGUGCCCUAUUUAAAGUGAAUGUGGUUGUCUUUAAUGCCUAACCCAUAAACUAUCGUGGCAGUUCGAUAAGAGACAUCAUGGUAUGCAUCAUAUCCAAUAGGGUGCAACUAUGAUGUUCGGACACACCAUCACACUAUGGUGUUCCAGGCGGUAUUAAUUGUGAAACAAUUUCCACAAUGUCUUAAUUGUGUGCCAAAACUCGUAACUCAGAUACUCAUCUCUAUGAUCAUAUCAUAGACAUUUUAUCCUCUUGUCACAAUGAUCUUCUACUUCACUCUGAAAUUACUUGAACCAUUCAACAAUUCAGACUUGUGUUUCAUCAAGUAAAUAUUCUCAACAUCUACUCGAAUCAUCUGUGAAGUAAGAACAUAACGAUAUUCACUGCAUGCCUCAGCACUCAUUGGACUGCACACAUCAAAAUGUGUUACUUCCAACAAGUUGCUAUCUUGUUCCAUCUUACUGAAAACGAGGCUUUUCAGUCAUCUUGCCCAUGUGGUAUGAUUUGCAUGUCCCAAGUGAUUCAAAAAUCAAGUGAGUCAAAACGGUCCAUUUGCAUGGAGUUUCUUCAUGCAUAUACACCAAUAGACAUGGUUCGCAUGUCUCAAACUUUUCAAAAACGAGUGAGCCCAAAGAUCCAUCAAUAUGGAGCUUCUUCAUGCGUUUUAUACCGAUAUGACUUACGUGGUAGUGCCACAAGUAGGUGGUACUAUCAUUACUAUCUUUUGGCAUGAACAUGUGUAUCACUACGAUCGAGAUUUAAUAAACCAUUCAUUUUAGGUGUAAGACCAUUGAAGGUAUUAUUCAAAUAAACAGAGUAACCAUUAUUCUCCUUAAAUGAAUAACCGUAUUGCGAUAGACGUAAUCCAAUCAUGUCUAUGCUCAACGCAAACACCAAAUAACAAUUAUUUAGGUUUAACACCAAUCUCUUUGGUAGAGGGAGCGUGCGAUGCUUGAUCAUAUCAAGCAUGGAAAAACUUACAACACAUAUCGUCAGCUCACCUUUAGCUAGUCUCUGUUUAUUCCGUAGCCUUUUGUUUCGAGUUACUAACACUUAGCAACCGAACUGGUAUCUAAUACCCUGGUGCUACUAGGAGUACUAGCAAAGUACACAUUAACACAAUGUAUAUCCAAUAUACUUCUAUCGACCUUGCCAGCCUUCUUAUCUACCAAGUAUCUAGGGUAAUUCUGCUCUAGUAGUUGUUCCCCUUAUUACAGAAGCACUUAGUCUCGGGUUUGGGUUUUACCUUGGGUUUCUUCACUAGAGCAGCAGCUGAUUUGCCGUUUCAUGAAGUAUCCCUUCUUGCCCUUGCCCUUCUUGAAACUAGUGGUUCCACCAACCAUCAACAAUUGAUGCUCCUUCUUGAUUUCUACUUUCGCGGUGUCAAACAUCGCGAAUACCUCAAGGAUCAUCAUAUCUAUCCCUGAUAUGUUAUAGUUCAUCAUGAAGCUCUAACAGCUUGGUGGCAAUGACUUUGGAGAACCAUCACUAUCUCAUCUGGAAGAUCAACUCCCACUCGAUUCAAGCGAUUGUUGUACUCAGACAAUCUGAGCACAAGCUCAACGAUUGAGCUUUUCUCCCUUAGUUUGCAGGUUAAGAAAGUCAUCGGAGGUCUUAUACCUCUUGACAUGGGCACGAGCCUGAAAUCCCAAUUUCAGCCCUCAAAACAUCUCAUAUGUUUCGCGAUGUUUCAAAAACGUCUUUGGUGCCUCAACUCUAAACCGUUUAACUGAACUAUCACGUAGUUAUCAAAACGUGUAUGUCAGAUGUUCGCAACAACCACAGACAACGUUCGAGGUUCAGCACACUGAGCGGUGCAUUAAGGACAUAAGCCUUCUAUGAAGCAAUGAGGACAAUCCUCAGUUUACGGACCUAGUCCGCAUAAUUGCUACUAUCAACUUUCAACUAAUUUUUCUCUAGGAACAUAUCUAAACAGUAGAACUAUAGCGUGAGCUACGACAUAAUUUGCAAAAACCUUUUGACUAUGUUCAGGAUAAUUAAGUUCAUCUUAUGAACUCCCACUCAGAUAGACAUCCCUCUAGUCAUCUAAGUGAUUACAUGAUCCGAGUCAAACUAGGCCGUGUCCGAUCAUCACGUGAGACGGACUAGUCAUCAUCGGUGAACAUCUUCAUGUUGAUCGUAUCUUCUAUACGACUCAUGUUCGACCUUUCGGUCUUCGUGUUCCGAGGCCAUGUAUGUACAUGCUAGGCUCGUCAAGUUAACCCUAAGUGUUUCGCGUGUGUAAAUCUGUCUUACACCCGUUGUAUGUGAACGUUAGAAUCUAACACCCGAUCAUCACGUGGUGCUUCGAAACACGAACUGUCGCAACGGUGCACAGUUAGGGGAGAACACUUCUUGAAAUUGUUGUAAGGGAUCAUCUUAUUUACUACCGUCGUUCUAAGCAAAUAAGAUGUAUAAACAUGAUAAACAUCACAUGCAAUCAAAUAGUGACAUGAUAUGGCCAUCAUCACUUUGCUCCUUUUGAUCUCCAUCUUCGGGGCUCCAUGAUCAUCAUCGUCACCGGCAUGACACCAUGAUCUCCAUCAUCAUGAUCUCCAUCAUCGUGUCUUCAUGAAGUUGCCUCGCCAACUAUUACUUCUACUACUAUGGCUAACGGUUAGCAAUAAAGUAAAGUAAUUACAUGACGUUUAAGUUGACACGCAGGUCACAAAUGAAUAAAGACAACUCCUAUGGCUCCUGCCGGUUGUCAUACUCAUCGACAUGCAAGUCGUGAUUCCUAUUACAAGAACAUGAUCAAUCUCAUACAUCACAUAUAUCAUUCAUCACAUCCUUUUUGGCCAUAUCACAUCACAUAGCAUACCCUGCAAAAACAAGUUAGACGUCCUCUAAUUGUUGUUUGCAUGUUUUACGUGGCUGCUAUGGGUUUCUAGCAAGAACGUUUCUUACCUACGCAUGAACAACAACGUGAUAUGCCAAUUGCUAUUUACCCUUCAUAAGGACCCUUUUCAUCGAAUCCGAUCCGACUAAAGUGGGAGAGACAGACACCCGCCAGCCACCUUAUGCAACUAGUGCAUGUUUGUCGGUGGAACCGGUCUCACGUAAGCGUACGUGUAAGGUUGGUCCGGGCCGCUUCAUCCCACGAUGCCGCCGAAUCAAGAUAAGACUAGUAACGGCAAGCAUAUUGAACAAUAUCAACGCCCACAACUACUUUGUGUUCUACUCGUGCAAAGAAUCUACGCAAUAGACCUAGCUCAUGAUGCCACUGUUGGGGAACGUAGCAGAAAUUCAAAAUUUUCCUACGUGUCACCAAGAUCUAUCUAUGGAGAUACUAGCAACGAGGGAAGGAGAGUGCAUCUACAUACCCUUGUAGAUCGCUAAGCGGAAGCGUUCAAGUGAACGGGGUUGAUGGAGUCGUACUCGUCGUGAUUCAGAUCACCGAUGAUCCUAGUGCCGAACGGACGGCACCUCCGCGUUCAACACACGUACAGCUCGACGAUGUCUCCCACGCCUUGAUCCAGCAAGGAGAGAGGGAGAGGUUGAGGAAGACUCCAUCCAGCAGCAGCACAACGGCGUGGUGGUGAUGGAGGAGCGUGGCAAUCCUGCAGGGCUUCGCCAAGCACCUACGGGAGAGGAGGAGGUGUCACGGGAGGGAGGGAGGCGCCAAGGGCUCAGGUAUAGAUGCCCUCCCUCCCCUCCACUAUAUAUAGGGGCAAGGGAGAGGGGGAGGCGCAUCCUUGCCCCUUCCUCCAAGGAAGGGGUGCGGCUAAGAGGGGGGGAGGAGUCCAUCCUCCCCAAGGCACCUCGGAGGUGCCUUCCCCCUUUAGGACUCUCCCCUUUUUCCUAUAUCUUGGCGCAUGGGCCUCUAGGGGCUGGUGCCCUUGGCCCAUGUAGGCCAAGGCGCACCCCCCUACAGCCCAUGUGGCCCCCCGGGGCAGGUGGCCCCACCCGGUGGGCCCCCGGGACCCUUCCGGUGGUCCCGGUACAAUACCGAUGACCCCGAAACUUGUCCCGAUGGCCGAAACAGGACUUCCUAUAUAUAAAUCUUUACCUCCGGACCAUUCCGGAACUCCUCGUGACGUCCGGGAUCUCAUCCGGGACUCCGAACAACAUUCGGUAACCACAUACAAACUUCCUUUAUAACCCUAGCGUCAUCGAACCUUAAGUGUGUAGACCCUACGGGUUCGGGAGACAUGUAGUCAUGACCGAGAUGUUCUCCGGUCAAUAACCAACAGCGGGAUCUGGAUACCCAUGUUGGCUCGCACAUGUUCCACGAUGAUCUCAUCGGAUGAACCACGAUGUCAAGGACUCAAUCAAUCCCGUAUACAAUUCCCUUUGUCUAGCGGUAUGGUACUUGCCCGAGAUUCGAUCGUCGGUAUACCGAUACCUUGUUCAAUCUCGUUACCGGCAAGCCUCUUUACUCGUUCCGUAACACAUCAUCCCGUGAUCAACCCCUUGGUCACAUUGUGCACAUUAUGAUGAUGUCCUACCGAGUGGGCCCAGAGAUACCUCUCCGUUUACACGGAGUGACAAAAUCCCAAUCUCGAUUCGUGCCAACCCAACAGACACUUUCAGAGAUACCCGUAGUGUACCUUUAUAGCCACCCAGUUACGUUGUGACGUUUGGCACACCCAAAGCACUCCUACGGUAUCCGGGAGUUGCACAAUCUCAUGGUCUAAGGAAAUGAUACUUGACAUUAGAAAAGCUUUAGCAUACGAACUACAUGAUCUUGUGCUAGGCUUAGNNNNNNNNNNUGAUCAACCCCUUGGUCACAUUGUGCACAUUAUGAUGAUGUCCUACCGAGUGGGCCCAGAGAUACCUCUCCGUUUACACGGAGUGACAAAAUCCCAAUCUCGAUUCGUGCCAACCCAACAGACAUUUUCAGAGAUACCCGUAGUGUACCUUUAUAGCCACCCAGUUACGUUGUGACGUUUGGCACACCCAAAGCACUCCUACGGUAUCCGGGAGUUGCACAAUCUCAUGGUCUAAGGAAAUGAUACUUGACAUUAGAAAAGCUUUAGCAUACGAACUACAUGAUCUUGUGCUAGGCUUAGGAUUGGGUCUUGUCCAUCACAUCAUUCUCCUAAUGAUGUGAUCCCGUUAUCAACGACAUCCAAUGUCCAUGGUCAGGAAACCGUAACCAUCUAUUGAUUAACGAGCUAGUCAACUAGAGGCUUACUAGGGACAUGGUGUUGUCUAUGUAUCCACACAUGUAUCUGAGUUUCCUAUCAAUACAAUUCUAGCAUGGAUAAUAAACGAUUAUCAUGAACAAGGAAAUAUAAUAAUAAUCAAUUUAUUAUUGCCUCUAGGGCAUAUUUCCAACAAGAAACGGGGAACAAACUGAUGAAAGAAUGAUCAUACCGAGGGAAUUCACUCAGAACUAACAAGAAUGAUAACGUGCUUUGACUGGAGCGGUUUAAAAACUGCUGGAAGGCUCUAGGGGAAUAAAGAUGGAAUGCCUUCAAAUUUCUAGGUCCGUAUGAUUUGAAAUACUUGCACACAAACCGCGCGAAAGCGUUCCUGGAAAUCUCAGCCCAAAAAAGGACGUUUAGUAAUUCUAAAAGGGACUACAGAAUGAAAAACAAUAGUUUUGGCAGUUAAAGUUUGAGAUUCGAUGGUGCCGUAGAUCCGUUUGGUCAUCAGGUGUAACGAGCCACACCCAUGUCUAGCUAGAGUAGUGUGCUAGGCUCAGGCUAGAGAAGAAACGGGGAACAAACUGAUGAAAGAAUGAUCAUACCGAGGGAAUUCACUCAGAACUAACAAGAAUGAUAACGUGCUCCGACUGGAGCGGUUUAGGAACUGCUGGAAGGCUCUAGGGGAAGAAAGAAGGAAUGACUUCUAAUUUUUAGGUCCGUAUGAUUUGAAAUACGUGCACACAAACCGCGCGAAAGCGUUCCUGGAAAUCUCAGCCCAAAAAAGGACGUUUAGUAUUCUAAAAGGGACUACAGAAUGAAAAACAAUAGUUUUGGCAGUUAAAGUUUGAGAUUCGACGGUGCCGUAGAUCCGUUUGGUCAUCAGGUGUUACGAGCCACACCCAUGUCUAGCUAGAAUAGUGUGCNNNNNNNNNNNNNNNNNNNNNNNNNCGUAUGAUUUGAAAUACGUGCACACAAACCGCGCGAAAGCGUUCCUGGAAAUCUCAGCCCAAAAAAGGACGUUUAGUAUUCUAAAAGGGACUACAGAAUGAAAAACAAUAGUUUUGGCAGUUAAAGUUUGAGAUUCGACGGUGCUGUAGAUCCGUUUGGUCAUCAGGUGUUACGAGCCACACCCAUGUCUAGCUAGAAUAGUGUGCUAGGCUCAGGCUAGAGAAGAAAAGGGGAACAAACUAAUGAAAGAAUGAUCAAUACGAGGGAAUUCACUCAGAACUAACAAUAAUGAUAACGUGCUCCGACUGGAGCGGUUUAGGAACUGCUGGAAGGCUCUAGGCGAAUAAAGAUGGAAUGACUUCUAAUUUUUACGUCCGUAUGAUUUGAAAUACUUGCACACAAACCACGCAAAAGCGUUCCUGGAAAUCUCGGCCUAAAAAGGACGUUUAGUAAUUCUAAAAGGGACUACAGGAUGAAAAAUAAUAGUUUGGGCAGUUAAAAUUUGAGAUUCGACGGUGCCGUAGAUCCGUUUGGUCAUCAGGUGUUACGAGCCACACCCAUGUCUAGCUAGAAUAGUGUGUUAGGCUCAGGCUAGAGAAGAAACGAGGAACAAACUGAUGAAAGAAUGAUCAUACCAAGGGAAUUCACUCAGAACUAACAAGAAUGAUAACGUGCUCCGACUGGAGCAGUUUAGAAACUGCUGGAAGGCUCUAGGGGAAUAAAGAUGGAAUGACUUCUGAUUUUUAGGUCCGUAUGAUUUGAAAUACGUGCACACAAACCCCGCGAAAGCGUUCCUGGAAAUCUCAGCCCAAAAAAGGACGUUUAGUAAUUCUAAAAGGGACUACAACAUGAAAAACAAUAGUUUUGGCAGUUAAAGUUUGAGAUUUCAUGGUGCCGUAGAUCUGUUUGGUCAUCAGGUGUUACGAGCCACACCCAUGUCUAGCUAGAAUAGUGUGUUAGGCUCAGGCUAGAAAAGAAACGGGAAACAAAGUGAUGAAAGAAUGACCAUACCGAGGGAAUUCACUCAGAACUAACAAGAAUGAUAACAUGCUCCGACUUGAGCGGUUUAGGAACUGCUGGAAGGCUCUAGGGGAAUAAAGAUGGAAUGACUUCUAAUGUUUAGGUCCGUAUGAUUUGAAAUACUUGCACAUAAACCGCACAAAAGCGUUCCUGGAAAUCUCAGCCCAAAAAAGGACGUUUAGUAAUUCUAAAAGGGACUACAGGAUGAAAAACAAUAGUUUUGGCAGUUAAAGUUUGAGAUUCGACGGUGCCGUAGAUCCGUUUGGUCAUCAGGUGUUACGAGCCACACCCAUGUCUAGCUAGAAUAGUGUGUUAGGCUCAGGCUAGAGAAGAAACUUGGAACAAACUGAUGAAAGAAUGAUCAAACCAACGGAAUUCACUCAGAACUAACAAUAAUGAUAACGUGCUCCGACUGGAGCAGUUUAGGAACUGCUGGAAGGCUCUAGGGGAAUAAAGAUGGAAUGACUUCUAAUUUUUAGGUCCGUAUGAUUUGAAAUACUUGCACGCAAACCGCGCGAAAGCGUUCCUGGAAAUAUCAGCCCAAAAAAGGACGUUUAGUAAUUCUAAAAGGGACUACAGGAUGAAAACAAUAGUUUUGGCAGUUAAAGUUUGAGAUUCAACAGUGCCGUAGAUCCGUUUGGUCAUCAGGUGUUAUGAGCCAUACCCAUGUCUAGCUAGAGUAGUGUGCUAGGCUCAGGCUAGAGAAGAAACAGGGAACAAACUGAUGAAAGAAUGAUCAUACCGAGGGAAUUCACUCAGAACUAACAAGAAUGAUAACGUGCUCCGACUGGAGCGGUUUAGGAACUGCUGGAAGGCUCUAGGGGAAUAAAGAUGGAGUGACUUCUAAAUUUUUAGGUCCGUAUGAUUUAAAAUACUUGCACACAAACCGCACGAAAGCGUUCCUUGAAAUCUCAGCCCAAAAAAGGACGUUUAGUAAGUCUAAAAGGGACUAUAGGAUGAAAAACAAUAGUUUUGGCAGUUAAAGUUUGAGAUUCGAUGGUGCCGUAGAUCUGUUUGGUCAUCAGGUGUUACGAGCCACACCCAUGUCUAGUUGGAAUAGUGUGCUAGGCUCAGACUAGAGAAGAAACAGGGAACAAACUGAUGAAAGAAUGAUCAAACCGAGGAAAUUCACUCAGAACUAACAAUAAUGAUAACAUGCUCCGACUGGAGCGGUUUAGGAACUGCUGGAAGGCUCUAGGGGAAUAAAGAUGGAAUGACUUCUAAAUUUUUAGGUCCGUAUGAUUUGAAAUAGUUGCACACAAACUGCGCGAAAGCGUUCCUGGAAAUCUCAGCCCAAAAAAGGACGUUUAGUAAUUCUAAAAGGGACUAUAGGAUGAAAAACAAUAGUUUUGGCAGUUAAAGUUUGAGAUUCGACGGUGCCGUAGAUCCGUUUGGUCAUCACGUGUUACAAGCCACACCCAUGUCUAGCUAGAGUAGUGUGCUAGGCUCAGACUAUAGAAGAAACGGGGACCAAACUGAUGAAAGAAUGAUCAAACCGAGGAAAUUCACUCAGAACUAACAAUAAUGAUAACAUGCUCCGACUGGAGCGGUUUAGGAACUACUGGAAGGCUCUAGGGGAAUAAAGAUGGAAUGACUUCUAAAUUUUUAGGUCCGUAUGAUUUUAAAUAGUUGCACACAAACUGCGCGAAAGCGUUCCUGGAAAUCUCAGCCCAAAAAAGGACGUUUAGUAAUUCUAAAAGGGACUACAGGAUGAAAAACAAUAGUUUGGGCAGUUAAAAUUUGAGAUUCGACGGUGCCGUAGAUCCGUUUGGUCAUCAGGUGUUACGAGCCACACCCAUGUCUAGCUAGAGUAGUGUGCUAGGCUCAGGCUAGAGAAGAAACAGGGAACAAACUGAUGAAAGAAUGAUCAUACCGAGGGAAUUCACUCAGAACUAACAAGAAUGAUAACGUGCUCUGACUGGAGCGGUUUAAGAACUGUUGGAAGGCUCUAGGGGAAUAAAGAUGGAAUCACUUCAAAUUUUUACGUCCGUGUGAUUUGAAAUACUUGCACACAAACCGCACGAAAGCGUUCCUGGAAAUCUCAGCCCAAAAAAGGACGUUUAGUAAGUCUAAAAGGGACUACACGAUGAAAAACAAUAGUUUUGGCAGUUAAAGUUUGAGAUUCGACAGUGCCGUAGAUCCGUUUGGUCAUCAGGUGUAACGAGCCACACCCAUGUCUAGAUAGAGUAGUGUGCUAGGCUCAAACUAGAGAAGAAACGGGGAACAAACUGAUGAAAGAAUGAUCAUACCGAGGGAAUUCACUCAGAAAUAACAAGAAUGAUAACGUGCUCUGACUGGAGCGGUUUAGGAACUGCUGGAAGGCUCUAGGGGAAUAAAGAAGGAAUGACUUCUAAUUUUUAGGUCCGUAUGAUUUGAAAUACGUGCACACAAACCCCGAGAAAGCGUUCCUGGAAAUCUCGACCCAAAAAAGGACGUUUAGUAAUUCUAAAAGGGACUACGGGAUGAAAAACAAUAGUUUUGGCAGUUAAAGUUUGAGAUUCGAUAAUGCCGUAGAUCCAUUUGGUCAUCAGGUGUAACGAGCCACACCCAUGUCUAGCUAGAGUAGUGUGCUAGGCUCAGACUAGAGAAGAAACAGGGAACAAACUGAUGAAAGAAUGAUCAUAUCGAGGGAAUUCACUCAGAACUAACAAGAAUGAUAACAUGCUCCGACUUGAGCGGUUUAGGAACUGCUGGAAGGCUCUAGGGGAAUAAAGAUGGAAUGACUUCUAAUUUUUAGGUCCGUAUGAUUUGAAAUACUUACACACAAACCACGCGAAAGCGUUCCUGGAAAUCUCAGCCCAAAAAAGGACGUUUAGUAAUUCUAAAAGGGACUACAUGAUGAAAAACAAUAGUUUUCGCAGUUAAAGUUUGAGAUUCGACGGUGCCGUAGAUCCGUUUGGUCAUCAAGUGUUACGAGCCACACCCAUGUCUAGCUAGAAUAGUGUGUUAGGCUCAGCCUAGAGAAGAAACGGGGAACAAACUGAUGAAAGAAUGAUCAUACCGAGGGAAUUCACUCAGAACUUACAAGAAUGAUAACGUGCUCCGACUUGAGCGGUUUAAGAACUGUUGGAAGGCUCUAGGGGAAUAAAGAUGGAAUCACUUCAAAUUUUUACGUCCGUGUGAUUUGAAAUACUUGCACACAAACCCCGAGAAAGCGUUCCUGGAAAUCUCGGCCGAAAAAAGGAUGUUUAAUAAUUCUAAAAGGGACUACAGGAUGAAAAACAAUAGCUUUGGCAGUUAAAGUUUGUGAUUCGAUGGUGCCGUAGAUCUGUUUGGUCAUCAGGUGUUAUGAGCCACACCCAUGUCUAGCUAGAAUAGUGUGUUAGGCUCAGGCUAGAGCAGAAACUAGGAACAAACUUAUGAAAGAAUGAUCAUACCGAGGGAAUUCACUCAGAACUAACAAGAAUGAUAACGUGCUCCGACUGGAGCGGUUUAGGAACUGCUGGAAGGCUCUAGGGGAAUAAAGAUGGAAUGACUUCUAAUUUUUAGGUCCGUAUGAUUUGAAAUACAUGCACACAAACCCCAAGAAAGCGUUCCUAGAAAUCUCAGCCCAAAAAGGACGUUUAGUAAUUCUAAAAGGGACUACAGGAUGAAAAACAAUAGGUUUGGCAGUUAAAGUUUGAGAUUCGAUAAUGCCGUAGAUCCGUUUGGUCAUCAGGUGUAACGAGCCACACCCAUGUCUAGCUACAUUAGUGUGCUAGGCUCAGACUAGAGAAGAAACGGGGAACAAACUGAUGAAAGAAUGAUCAUACCGAGGGAAUUCACUCAGAACUAACAAGAACGAUAACAUGCUCCGACUGCAGCGGUUUAGGAACUGCUGGAAGGCUCUAGGGGAAUAAAGAAGGAAUGACUUCUAAUUUUUAGGUCCGUAUGAUUUGAAAUACUUGCACACAAACCGCGCGAAAGCAUUCCUGGAAAUCUCAGCCCAAAAAAGGACGUUUAGUAAUUCUAAAAGGGACUACAGGAUGAAAAACAAUAAUUUUGGCAGUUAAAGUUUGAGAUUCGACGGUGCCGUAGAUCCGUUUGGUCAUCAGGUGUUACGGGCCAUACCCAUGUCUAGCUAGAAUAGUGUGUUAGGCUCAGGUUAGAGAAGAAACGGGGAACAAAGUGAUGAAAGAAUGAUCAUACCGAGGGAAUUCACUCAGAACUAACAAGAAUGAUAACGUGCUCCGACUGGAGCGGUUUAGGAAUUGCUGGAAGGCUCUAGGGGAAUAAAGAUGGAAUGACUUCUAUAUUUUACGUCCGUAUGAUUUGAAAUACUUGCACACAAACCACGCAAAAGCACUCCUGGAAAUAUCAGCCUAAAAAGGAUGUUUAGUAAUUCUAAAAGGGACUACAGGAUGAAAAAUAAUAGUUUUGGCAGUUAAAAUUUGAGAUUCAACGGUGCCGUAAAUCCGUUUGGUCAUCAGGUGUUACGAGCCACACCCAUGUCUAGCUAGAAUAGUGUGUUAGGCUCAGGUUAGAGAAGAAACGGGGAACAAACUGAUGAAAGAAUGAUCAUACAAGGGGAAUUCACUCAGAACUAUCAAGAAUGAUAACGUGCUCCGACUGGAGCAGUUUAGGAACUGCCGGAAGGCUCUAGGGGAAUAAAGAUGGAAUGACUUCUAAUUUUUAUGUCCGUAUGAUUUGAAAUACUUGCACACAAACCACGCAAAAGCGUUCCUGGAAAUCUCAGCCUAAAAAGGACGUUUAGUAAUUCUAAAAGGGACUACAGGAUGAAAAACAAUAGUUUGGGCAGUUAAAAUUCGAGAUUCGACGGUGCCGUAGAUCCGUUUGGUCAUCAGGUGUUACGAGCCACACCCAUGUCUAGCUAGAAUAGUGUGUUAGGCUCAGGCUAGAGAAGAAACGGGGAACAAACUGAUGAAAGAAUGAUCAUAUCGAGGGAAUUCACUCAGAACUAACAAGAAUGAUAACGUGCUCCGACUGGAGCGGUUUAGUAACUGCUGGAAGGCUCUAGGGGAAUAAAGAUGGAAUGACUUCUAAUUAUUAGGUCCGUAAGAUUUGAAUUACAUGCACACAAACCCCGAGAAAGCGUUCCUGGAAAUCUCGGUCGAAAAAAGGAUGUUUAGUAAUUCUAAAAGGGACUACAGGAUGAAAAACAAUAGUUUUGGCAGUUAAAGUUUGUGAUUCGAUGGUGCCGUAGAUCUGUUUGGUCAUCAGGUGUUACGAGCCACACCCAUGUCUAGCUAGAAUAGUGUGUUAGGCUCAGGCUAGAGCAGAAACGGGGAACAAACUUAUGAAAGAAUGAUCAUGCCGAGGGAAUUCACUCAGAACUAACAAGAAUGAUAACGUGCUCCGACUGGAGCGGUUUAGGAACUGCUGGAAGGCUCUAGGGGAAUAAAGAUGGAAUGACAUCAAAUUUUUAGGUCCGUAUGAUUUGAAAUACUUGCACACAAACCGCAAGAAAGCGUUCUUGGAAAUCUCCGCCCAAAAAAGGACGUUUAGUAAUUCUAAAAGGGUCUACAGGAUGAAAAACAAUAGUUCUGGCAGUUAAAGUUUGAGAUUCGAUAAUGUCGUAGAUCCGUUUGGUCAUCAGGCGUAACGAGCCACACCCAUUUCUAGCUAGAGUAGUGUGCUAGGCUCAGACUAGAGAAGAAACGGGGAACAACCUGAUGAAAGAAUGAUCAUACCGAGGGAAUUCACUCAGAACUAACAAGAAUGAUAACGUGCUCCGACUGGAGCGGUUUAGGAACUGCUGGAAGGCUCUACGGGAAUAAAGAAGGAAUGACUUCUAAUUUUUAGGUCCGUAUGAUUUGAAAUACGUGCACACAAACCCCGAGAAAGCGUUCCUGGAAAUCUCGGCCCAAAAAAGGACGUUUAGUAUUCUAAAAGCGACUACAGAAUGAAAAACAAUAGUUUUGGUAGUUAAAGUUUGAGAUUUAACGGUGCCGUAGAUCUGUUUGGUCAUCAGGUGUUACGAGCCACACCCAUGUCUAGCUAGAAUAGUGUGUUAGGCUCAGGCUAGAUAAGAAACAGGGAACAAAGUGAUGAAAGAAUGAUCAUACCAAGGGAAUUCACUCAGAACUAACAAGAACGAUAACAUGCUCCGACUGGAGUGGUUUAGGAACUGCUGGAAGGCUCUAGGGGAAUAAAGAUGGAAUGACUUCUAAUUUUUAGGUCUGUAUGAUUUGAAAUACUUGCACACAAACCGCACGAAAGCGUUCCUGGAAAUCUCAUCCCAAAAAAGGACGUUUAGUAAUUCUAAAAGGGACUACAGGAUGAAAAACAAUAGUUUUGGCAGUUAAAGUUUGAGAUUCGAUAAUGCUGUAGAUCCGUUUGGUCAUCAGGUGUAACGAGCCACACCCAUGUCUAGCUAGAGUAGUGUGCUAGGCUCAGACUAGAGAAGAAACGGGGAACAAACUGAUGAAAGAAUGAUCAUACCGAGGGAAUUCACUCAGAACUAACAAUAAUGAUAACGUGCUCCGACUGGAGCGGUUUAGGAACUGCUGGAAGGCUCUAGGGGAAUAAAGAUGGAAUGAGUUCUAAUUUUUAGGUCUGUAUGAUUUGAAAUACUUGCACACAAACCGCGUGAAAGCAUUCCUGGAAAUUUCAGCCCAAAAAAGGACGUUUAGUAAUUUUAAAAGGGACUACACGAUGAAAAACAAUAGUUUUGGCAGUUAAAGUUUGAGAUUCGACGGUGCCGUAGAUCCGUUUGGUCAUCAGGUGUUACGAGCCACACCCAUGUCUAGCUAGAAUAGUAUGUUAGGCUCGGGUAAGAGAAGAAACGGGGAACAAACUGAUGAAAGAAUGAUCAUACCAAGGGAAUUCACUCAGAACUAACAAGAAUGAUAACGUGCUCCGACUGGAGCGGUUUAGGAACUGCUGGAAGGCUCUAGGGGAAUAAAGAUGGAAUGACUUCUAAUUUUUACGUUCGUAUGAUUUGAAAUACUUGCACACAAACCACGCAAAAGCGUUCCUGGAAAUCUCAUCCUAAAAAAGGACGUUUAGUAAUUCUAAAAGGGACUACAGGAUGAAAAAUAAUAGUUUGGGCAGUUAAAAUUUGAGAUUCGACGGUGCCGUAGAUCCGUUUGGUCAUCAGGUGUUACGAGCCACACCCAUGUCUAGCUAGAAUAGUGUGUUAGGCUCAGGCUAGAGAAGAAACGGGGAACAAACUGAUGAAAGAAUGAUCAUAUCGAGGGAAUUCACUCAGAACUAACAAGAAUGAUAACGUGCUCCGACUGGAGCAGUUUAGAAACUGCUGGAAGGCUCUAGGGGAAUAAAGAUGGAAUGACUUCUAAUUUUUAGGUCUGUAUGAUUUGAAAUACGUGCACACGAACCCCGAGAAAGCGUUCCUGGAAAUCUCGGCCCAAAAAAGGACGUUUAGUAAUUCUAAAAGGGACUACAGGAUGAAAAACAAUAGUUUUGGCAGUUAAAGUUUGAGAUUCGACGGUGCCGUAGAUCCGUUUGUUCAUCAGGUGUUACGAGCCACACCCAUGUCUAGCUAGAAUAGUGUGUUAGGCUCAGGCUAGAGAAGAAACGGGGAACAAACUGAUGAAAGAAUGAUCAUACCGAGGGAAUUCACUCAGAACUAACAAGAAUGAUAACGUGCUCCGACUGGAGCGGUUUAGGAACUGCUAGAAGGCUCUAGGGGAAUAAAGAAGGAAUGACUUCUAAUUUUUAGGUCCGUAUGAUUUGAAAUACGUGCACACAAACCCCGAGAAAGCGUUCCUGGAAAUCUUGGCCCAAAAAAGGACGUUUAGUAUUCUAAAAGCGACUACAGAAUGAAAAACAAUAGUUUUGCUAGUUAAAGUUUGAGAUUUGAUGGUGCCGUAGAUCUGUUUGGUCAUCAGGUUUUACGAGCCACACCCAUGUCUAGCUAGAAUAGUGUGUUAGGCUCAGGCUAGAAAAGAAACAGGGAAUAAAGUGAUGAAAGAAUGAUCAUACCAAGGGAAUUCACUCAGAACUAACAAGAACGAUAACAUGCUCCGACUGGAGUGGUUUAGAACUGCUGGAAGGCUAAAGGGGAAUAAAGAUGGAAUGACUUCUAAUUUUUAGGUCCGUAUGAUUUGAAAUACUUGCACACAAACCGCACGAAAGUGUUCCUGGAAAUCUCAGCCCAAAAAAGGACGUUUAGUAAUUCUAAAAGGGACUACAGGAUGAAAAACAAUAGUUUUGGCAGUUAAAGUUUGAGAUUCGAUAAUGACGUAGAUCCGUUUGGUCAUCAGGUGUAACGAGCCACACCCAUGUCUAGCUAGAGUAGUGUGCUAGGCUCAGACUAGAGAAGAAACGGGGAACAAACUGAUGAAAGAAUGAUCAUACCGAGGGAAUUCACUCAGAACUAACAAUAAUGAUAACGUGCUCCGACUAGAGCGGUUUAGGAACUGCUGGAAGGCUCUAGGGGAAUAAAGAUGGAAUGACUUCUAAUUUUUAGGUCCCUAUGAUUUGAAAUACUUGCACACAAACCGCGUGAAAGCAUUCCUGGAAAUUUCAGCCCAAAAAAGGACGUUUAGUAAUUUUAAAAGGGACUACACGAUGAAAAAGAAUAGUUUUGGCAGUUAAAGUUUGAGAUUCGACGGUGCCGUAGAUCCGUUUGGUCAUCAGGUGUUACGAGACACACCCAUGUCUAGCUAGAAUAGUAUGUUAGGCUCGGGUUAGAGAAGAAACGGGGAACAAACUGAUGAAAGAAUGAUCAUACCAAGGGAAUUCACUCAGAACUAACAAGAAUGAUAACGUGCUCCGACUGGAGCGGUUUAGGAACUGCUGGAAGGCUCUAGGGGAAUAAAGAUGGAAUGACUUCUAAUUUUUACGUUCGUAUGAUUUGAAAUACUUGCAAACAAACCACGCAAAAGCGUUCCUGGAAAUUUCAUCCUAAAAAAGGACGUUUAGUAAUUCUAAAAGGGACUACAGGAUGAAAAAUAAUAGUUUGGGCAGUUAAAAUUUGAGAUUCGAUGGUGCCGUAGAUCCGUUUGGUCAUCAGGUGUUACGAGCCACACCCAUGUCUAGCUAGAAUAGUGUGUUAGGCUCAGGCUAGAGAAGAAACGGGGAACAAACUGAUGAAAGAAUGAUCAUAUCGAGGGAAUUCACUCAGAACUAACAAGAAUGAUAACGUGCUCCGACUGGAGCAGUUUAGAAACUGCUGGAAGGCUCUAGGGGAAUAAAGAUGGAAUGACUUCUAAUUUUUAGGUCUGUAUGAUUUGAAAUACGUGCACACAAACCCCGAGAAAGCGUUCCUGGAAAUCUCGUCCGGAAAAAGGAUGUUUAAUAAUUCUAAAAGGGACUACAGGAUGAAAAACAAUAGUUUUGGCAGUUAAAGUUUGUGAUUCGAUGGUGCCGUAGAUCUGUUUGGUCAUCAGGUGUUACGGGCCACACCCAUGUCUAGCUAGAAUAGUGUGUUAGGCUCAGGCUAGAGCAGAAACGGGGAGCAAACUUAUGAAAGAAUGAUCAUAGCGAGGGAAUUUACUCAGAACUAACAAGAAUGAUAACGUGCUCCGACUGGAGCGGUUUAGGAACUGCUGGAAGGCUCUAGGGGAAUAAAGAUGGAAUGACUUCAAAUUUUCAGGUAUGUAUGAUCUGAAAUACUUGCACACAAACCGCGAGAAAGCGUUCCUGGAAAUCUCAACCCAAAAAAGGAUGUUUAGUAAUUCUAAAAGGGACUACAGGAUUAAAAACAAUAGUUUUGGCAGUUAAAGUUUGAGAUUCGAUAAUGUCGUAGAUCCGUUUGGUCAUCAGGUGUAACGAGCCACACCCAUGUCUAGCUAGAGUAGUGUGCUAGGCUCAUACUAGAGAAGAAACGGGGAACAAACUGAUGAAAGAAUGAUCAUACCGAGGGAAUUCACUCAGAACUAACAAGAAUGAUAACGUGCUCCGACUGGAGCGGUUUAGGAACUGCUGGAAGGCUCUAGGGGAAUAAAGAUGGAAUGACUUCUUAUUUUUAGGUCCGUAUGAUUUGAAAUACAUGCACACAAACCCCAAGAAAGCGUUCCGGGAAAUCUCGGCCCAAAGAAUGAUGUUUAGUAAUUCUAAAAGGGACUAUAGAAUGAAAAACAAUAGUUUUGGCAGUUAAAGUUUGAGAUUUGACGGUGUCGUAGAUCUGUUUGGUCAUCAGGUGUUACGAGCCACACCCAUUUCUAGCUAGAAUAGUGUGUUAGGCUCAGGCUAGAAAAGAAACGGGGAACAAAGUGAUGAAAGAAUGAUCAUACCGAGGGAAUUCACUCAGAACUAACAAGAAUGAUAACAUGCUCCGACUAGAGCGGUUUAGGAACUGCUGGAAGGCUCUAGGGGAAUAAAUAUGGAAUGACUUCUAAUUUUCAGGUCCGUAUGAUUUGAAAUACUUGCACACAAACCGCGCGAAAGCGUUCCUGGAAAUCUCAUCCCAAAGAAGGUCGUUUAGUAAUUCUAAAAGGGACUACAGGAUGAAAAACAAUAGUUUUGGCAAUUUAAGGUUUGAGAUUCGACGGUGCCGUAGAUCCGUUUGGUCAUCAGGUGUUACGAGCCACACCCAUGUCUAGCUAGAAUAGUGUGCUAGGCUCAGGCUAGAGAAGAAACAGGGAACAAACUGAUGAAAGAAUGAUCAAACCGAGGGAAUUCACUCAGAACUAACAAUAAUGAUAACGUUCUCCGUCUGGAGCGGUUUAGGAACUGCUGGAAGGCUCUAGGGGAAUAAAGAUGGAAUGACUUCUAAUUUUUAGGUCCGUAUGAUUUGAAAUACUUGCACACAAACCGCGCCAAAUCGUUCCUGGAAAUCUCAGCCCAAAAAAGGACGUUUAGUAAUUCUAAAAGGGACUACAGGAUGAAAAACAAUAGUUUUGGCAGUUAAAGUUUGAGAUUCGAUGGUGCCGUAGACCCGUUUGGUCAUCAGGUGUUACGAGCCACACCCAUGUCUAGCUAGAGUAGUGUGCUAGGUUCAGACUAGAGAAGAAACAGGGAACAAAGUGAUGAAAGAAUGAUCAUACCGAGGGAAUUCACUCAGAACUAACAAGAAUGAUAACGUGCUCCGACUGGAGCGGUUUAGGAACUGCUGGAAGGCUCUAGGGGAAUAAAGAUGGAAUGACUUCUAAUUUUUACGUCCGUAUGAUUUGAAAUACUUGCACACAAACCACGCAAAAGCGUUCCUGGAAAUCUCAGCCUAAAAAAGGACGUUUAGUAAUUCAAAAAGGGACUACAAAAUGAAAAACAAUAGUUUUGGCAGUUAAAGUUUGAGAUUCGAUGGUGCCGUAGAUCCGUUUGGUCAUCAGGUGUUACGAGCCACACCCAUGUCUAGCUAGGAUAGUGUGUUAGGCUCAGGCUAGAGAAGAAACGGGGAACAAACUGAUGAAAGAAUGAUCAUACCGAGGGAAUUCACUCAGAACUAACAAGGAUGAUAACAUGCUCCGACUAGAGCGGUUUAGGAACUGCUGGAAGGCUCUAGGGGAAUAAAGAUGGAAUGACUUCUAAUUUUUAGGUCCGUAUGAUUUGAAAUACUUGCACACAAACCGCAAGAAAGCGUUCCUGGAAAUCUCAGCCCAAAAAAGGACGUUUAGUAAUUCUAAAAGGGACUACAGGAUGAAAAACAAUAGUUCUGGCAGUUAAAGUUUGAGAUUCGAUAAUGCCGUAGAUCUGUUUGGUCAUCAGGUGUAACGAGCCACACCCAUGUCUAGCUAGAGUAGUGUGCUAGGCUCAGACUAGAGAAGAAACGGGGAACAAACUGAUGAAAGAAUGAUUAUACCGAGGGAAUUCACUCAGAACUAACGAGAAUGAUAACGUGCUCCGACUGGAGCGGUUUAGGAACUGCUGGAAGGCUCUAGGGGAAUAAAGAUGGAAUGACUUCAAAUUUUUAGGUCUGUAUGAUUUGAAAUACUUGCACACAAACCGCAAGAAAGCGUUCCUUGAAAUCUCAGCCCAAAAAAGGACGUUUAGUAAUUCUAAAAGGGACUACAGGAUGAAAAACAAUAGUUCUGGCAGUUAAAGUUUGAGAUUCGAUAAUGUCGUAGAUCCGUUUGGUCAUCAGGUGUAACGAGCCACACCCAUGUCUAGCUAGAGUAGUGUGCUAGGCUCAGAAUAGAGAAGAAACGGGGAACAAACUGAUGAAAGAAUGAUCAUACCGAGGGAAUUCACUCAGAACUAACAAGAAUGAUAACGUGCUCCGACUGGAGCGGUUUAGGAACUGCUGGAAGGCUCUAGGGGAAUAAAGAAGGAAUGACUUCUAAUUUUUAGGUCCGUAUGAUUUGAAAUACGUGCACACAAACCGCGCGAAAGCGUUCCUGGAAAUCUCAGCCAAAAAAAGGACGUUUAGUAUUCUAAAAGGGACUACAGAAUGAAAAACAAUAGUUUUGGCAGUUAAAGUUUGAGAUUCGACGGUGCUGUAGAUCCGUUUGGUCAUCAGGUGUUACGAGCCACACCCAUGUCUAGCUAGAAUAGUGUGCUAGGCUCAGGCUAGAGAAGAAAAGGGGAACAAACUAAUGAAAGAAUGAUCAAUCCGAGGGAAUUCACUCAGAACUAACAAUAAUGAUAACGUGCUCCGACUGGAGCGGUUUAGGAACUGCUGGAAGGCUCUAGGCGAAUAAAGAUGGAAUGACUUCUAAUUUUUACGUCCGUAUGAUUUGAAAUACUUGCACACAAACCACGCAAAAGCGUUCCUGGAAGUCUCGGCCUAAAAAGGACGUUUAGUAAUUCUAAAAGGGACUACAGGAUGAAAAAUAAUAGUUUGGGCAGUUAAAAUUUGAGAUUCGACGGUGCCGUAGAUCCAUUUGGUCAUCAAGUGUUACGAGCCACACCCAUGUCUAGCUAGAAUAGUGUGUUAGGCUCAGGCUAGAGAAGAAACGGGGAACAAACUGAUGAAAGAAUGAUCAUACCAAGGGAAUUCACUCAGAACUAACAAGAAUGAUAACGUGCUCCGACUGGAGCAGUUUAGAAACUGCUGGAAGGCUCUUGGGGAAUAAAGAUGGAAUGACUUCAAAUUUUUAGGUCCGUAUGAUUUGAAAUACUUGCACACAAACCACGCGAAAGCGUUCCUGGAAAUCUCAGCCCAAAAAAGGACGUUUAGUAAUUCUAAAAGGGACUACAUGAUGAAAAACAAUAGUUUUGGCAGUUAAAGUUUGAGAAUCGUCGGUGCCGUAGAUCCGUUUGGUCAUCAGCUGUAACGAGCCACACCCAUGUCUAGCUAGAGUAGUGUGCUAGGCUCAGACUAGAGAAGAAACAGGGAACAAAGUGAUGAAAGAAUGAUCAUACCGAGGGAAUUCACUUAGAACUAACAAGAAUGAUAACAUGCUCCGACUUGAGCGAUUUAGGAACUUCUGGAAGGCUCUAGGGGAAUAAAGAUGGAAUGACUCAAAUUUUUAGGCCCGUAUGAUUUGAAAUACAUGCACACAAACCGCGAGAAAGUGUUCCUGGAAAUCUUAGCCCAAAAAAGGACGUUUAGUAAUUCUAAAAGGGACUACAGGAUGAAAAACAAUAGUUUUGGUAGUUAAAGUUUCAGAUUCGAUAAUGCCCUAGAUCCGUUUGGUCAUCAGGUGUAACGAGCCACACCAAUGUCUAGCUAGAGUAGUGUGCUAGGCUCAGACUAGAUAAGAAACGGGGAAGAAACUGAUGAAAGAAUGAUCAGACCGAGGGAAUUCACUCAGAACUAACAAUAAUGAUAACGUGCUCCGAGUGGAGCGGUUUAGGAACUGCUGGAAGGCUCUAGGGGAAUAAAGAUGGAAUGACUUCUAAUUUUUAGGUCCGUAUGAUUUGAAAUACGUGCACACAAACCCCGAGAAACCGUUCCUUGAAAUCUCGGCCCAAAAAAGGACGUUUAGUAAUUCUAAAAGGGACUACAAAAUGAAAAACAAUAGUUUUGGCAGUUAAAGUUUGAGAUUCGACGGUGUCGUAGACCCGUUUGGUCUUCAGGUGUUACGAGCCACACCCAUGUCUAGCCAGAGUAGUGUGCUAGGUUCAGACUAGAGAAGAAACGGGGAACAAAGUGAUGAAAGAAUGAUCAUACCGAGGGAAUUCACUCAGAACUAACAAGAAUGAUAACGUGCUCCGACUGGAGCGGGUUAGGAACUCCUGGAAGGCUCUAGGGGAAUAAAGAUGGAAUGACUUCUAAUUUUUACGUCCGUAUGAUUUGAAAUACUUGCACACAAACCACGCAAAAGCGUUCCUGGAAAUCUCAGCCUAAAAAAGGACGUUUAGUAAUUCUAAAAGGGACUACAGGAUGAAAAAUAAUAGUUUGGUCAUCAGGUGUUACGAGCCACACCCAUGUCUAGCUAGAAUAGUGUGCUAGGCUCAGGCUAGAGAAGAAACGGGGAAUAAACUGAUGAAAGAAUGAUCAAACCGAGGGAAUUCACUCAGAACUAACAAUAAUGAUAACGUUCUCCGUCUGGAGCGGUUUAGGAACUGCUGGAAGGCUCUAGGGGAAUAAAGAUGGAAUGACUUCUAAUUUUUAGGUCCGUAUGAUACGAAAUACUUGCACACAAACCGCGCGAAAUCGUUCCUGGAAAUCUCAGCCCAAAAAAGGACGUUUAGUAAUUCUAAAAGGGACUACAGCAUGAAAAACAAUAGUUCUGGCAGUUAAAGUUUGAGAUUCGAUAAUGCCGUAGAUCCGUUUGGUCAUCAGGUGUAACGAGCCACACCCAUGUCUAGCUAGAGUAGUAUGCUAGGCUCAGACUAGAGAAGAAACGGGGAACAAACUGAUGAAAGAAUGAUUAUACCGAGGGAAUUCACUCAGAACUAACAAGAAUGAUAACGUGCUCCGGCUGGAGCGGUUUAGGAACUGCUAGAAGGCUCUAGGGGAAUAAAGAUGGAAUGACUUCAAAUUUUUAGGUCUGUAUGAUUUGAAAUACUUGCACACAAACCGCAAGAAAGCGUUCCUGGAAAUCUCAGCCCAAAAAAGGACGUUUAGUAAUUCUAAAAGGGACUAUAGGAUGAAAAACAAUAGUUCUGGUAGUUAAAGUUUGAGAUUCGAUAAUGUCAUAGAUCCGUUCGGUCAUCAGGUGUAACGAGCCACACCCAUGUCUAGCUAGAGUAGUGUGCUAGGCUCAGACUAGAGAAGAAACGGGGAACAAACUGAUGAAAGAAUGAUCAUACCGAGGGAAUUCACUCAGAACUAACAAGAAUGAUAACGUGCUCCGACUGGAGCGGUUUAGGAACUGCUGGAAGGCUCUAGGGGAAGAAAGAAGGAAUGACUUCUAAUUUUUAGGUCCGUAUGAUUUGAAAUACGUGCACACAAACCGCGCGAAAGCGUUCCUGGAAAUCUCAGCCCAAAAAAGGACGUUUAGUAUUCUAAAAGGGACUACAGAAUGAAAAACAAUAGUUUUGGCAGUUAAAGUUUGAGAUUCGACGGUGCCGUAGAUCCGUUUGGUCAUCAGGUGUUACGAGCCACACCCAUGUCUAGCUAGAAUAGUGUGCUAGGCUCAGGCUAGAGAAGAAAAGGGGAACAAACUGAUGAAAGAAUGAUCAAACCGAGGGAAUUCACUCAGAACUAACAAUAAUGAUAACGUGCUCCGACUGGAGCGGUUUAGGAACUGCUGGAAGGCUCUUGGCGAAUAAAGAUGGAAUGACUUCUAAUUUUUACGUCCGUAUGAUUUGAAAUACUUCCACACAAACCAGGCAAAGGCGUUCCUGGAAAUCUCGGCCUAAAAAGGACGUUUAGUAAUUCUAAAAGGGACUACAGGAUGAAAAAUAAUAGUUUGGGCAGUUAAAAUUUUAGAUUCGACGGUGCCGUAGAUCCGUUUGGUCAUCAGGUGUUACGAGCCACACCCAUGUCUAGCUAGAAUAGUGUGUUAGGCUCAGGCUAGAGAAGAAACGGGGAACAAACUGAUGAAAGAAUGAUCAUACCAAGGGAAUUCACUCAGAACUAACAAGAAUGAUAACGUGCUCCGACUGGAGCAGUUUAGAAACUACUGGAAGGCUCUAGGGGAAUAAAGAUGGAAUGACUUCAAAUUUUUAGGUCCGUAUGAUUUGAAAUACUUGCACACAAACCGCGCGAAAGCGUUCCUGGAAAUCUCAGCCCAAAAAAGGACGUUUAGUAAUUCUAAAAGGGACUACAUGAUGAAAAACAAUAGUUUUGGCAGUUAAAGUUUGAGAUUCGUCGGUGCCGUAGAUCCGUUUGGUCAUCAGCUGUAACGAGCCACACCCAUUUCUAGCUAGAGUAGUGUGCUAGGCUCAGACUAAAGAAGAAAUGGGGAACAAAGUGAUGAAAGAAUGCUCAUACCGAGGGAAUUCACUCAGAACUAACAAGAAUGAUAACAUGCUCCGACUUGAGCGAUUUAGGAACUUCUGGAAGGCUCUAGGGGAAUAAAGAUGGAAUGACUCAAAUUUUUAGGUCCGUAUGAUUUGAAAUACUUGCACACAAACCGCGAGAAAGCGUUCCUGGAAAUCUCAGCCCAAAAAAGGACGUUUAGUAAUUCUAAAAGGGACUACAUGAUGAAAAACAAUAGUUUUGGCAGUUAAAGUUUGAGAUUUGAUAAUGCCGUAGAUCCGUUUGGUCAUCAGGUGUAACGAGCCACACCCAUGUCUAGCUAGAGUAGUGUGCUAGGCUAAGACUAGAUAAGAAAAGGGGAAGAAACUUAUGAAAGAAUGAUCAGACCGAGGGAAUUCACUCAGAACUAACAAUAAUGAUAACGUGCUCCGACUGGAGCGGUUUAGGAACUGCUGGAAGGCUCUAGGGGAAUAAAGAUGGAAUGACUUCUAAUUUUUAGGUCCGUAUGAUUUGAAAUACGUGCACACAAACCCCGAGAAACCGUUCCUGGAAAUCUCGGCCCAAAAAAGGAUGUUUAGUAAUUCUAAAAGGGACUACAAAAUGAAAAACAAUAGUUUUGGCAGUUAAAGUUUGAGAUUUGAUGGUGCCGUAGAUCUGUUUGGUCAUCAGGUGUUACGAGCCACACCCAUGUCUAGCUAGAAUAGUGUGUUAGGCUCAGGCUAGAAAAGAAACGGGAAACAAAGUGAUGAAAGAAUGAUCAUACCGAGGGAAUUCACUCAGAACUAACAAGAAUGAUAACAUGCUCUGACUGGAGCGGUUUAGGAACUGCUGGAAGGCUCUAGGGGAAUAAAGAUGGAAUGACUUCUAAUGUUUAGGUCCGUAUGAUUUGAAAUACUUGCACAUAAACCGCGCAAAAGCGUUCCUGGAAAUCUCAGCCCAAAAAAGGACGUUUAGUAAUUCUAAAAGGGACUACAGGAUGAAAAACAAUAGUUUUGGCAGUUAAAGUUUGAGAUUCGACGGUGCCGUAGAUCCGUUUGUUCAUCAGGUGUUACGAGCCACACCCAUGUCUAGCUAGAAUAGUGUGUUAGGCUCAGGCUAGAGAAGAAACGGGGAACAAACUGAUGAAAGAAUGAUCAAACCGAGGG
rnacentral:lncRNA from 1 species